GUGAACCUUUACUAUAGCUUGACACUGAACAUUGAGCCUUGAUGUGUAGGAUAGGUGGGAGGCUUUGAAGUGUGGACGCCAGUCUGCAUGGAGCCGACCUUGAAAUACCACCCUUUAAUGUUUGAUGUUCUAACGUGGAUCCGUAAUCCGGGUUGCGGACAGUGUCUGGUGGGUAGUUUGACUGGGGCGGUCUCCUCCUAAAGAGUAACGGAGGAGCACGAAGGUUGGCUAAUCCUGGUCGGACAUCAGGAGGUUAGUGCAAUGGCAUAAGCCAGCUUGACUGCGAGCGUGACGGCGCGAGCAGGUGCGAAAGCAGGUCAUAGUGAUCCGGUGGUUCUGAAUGGAAGGGCCAUCGCUCAACGGAUAAAAGGUACUCCGGGGAUAACAGGCUGAUACCGCCCAAGAGUUCAUAUCGACGGCGGUGUUUGGCACCUCGAUGUCGGCUCAUCACAUCCUGGGGCUGAAGUAGGUCCCAAGGGUAUGGCUGUUCGCCAUUUAAAGUGGUACGCGAGCUGGGUUUAGAACGUCGUGAGACAGUUCGGUCCCUAUCUGCCGUGGGCGCUGGAGAACUGAGGGGGGCUGCUCCUAGUACGAGAGGACCGGAGUGGACGCAUCACUGGUGUUCGGGUUGUCAUGCCAAUGGCACUGCCCGGUAGCUAAAUGCGGAAGAGAUAAGUGCUGAAAGCAUCUAAGCACGAAACUUGCCCCGAGAUGAGUUCUCCCUGAGACUUAGAGUCUCCUGAAGGAACGUUGAAGACGACGACGUUGAUAGGCCGGGUGUGUAAGCGCAGCGAUGCGUUGAGCUAACCGGUACUAAUGAACCGUGAGGCUUAACCUUACAACGCCGAAG
rnacentral:rRNA from 1 species